GAUGAAGAACGUAGCGAAAUGCGAUAAGUAAUGUGAAUUGCAGAAUUCCGUGAAUCAUCGAAUCUUUGAACGCACAUUGCGCCCUCUGGUAUUCCGGGGGGCAUGCCUGUCCGAGCGUCAUUUGCAACCAUCAAGCCCGGCUUGUGUGAUGGGUGCCGUCCCCUACGGGACGCGCCCCGAAGGCAAUGGCGGCGUCGCGGUUAUCCGAUCAGCCAAAGUGUAUGGGGCUUUGUCACUCACUUUACGGCCCGGACCGGCGCCAGUCCGAAUCAAUCUUUUUUCUAAAGUUGACCUCGGAUCAGGUAGGGAUACCCGCUGAACUUAAGCAUAUCAAUAAGCGGAGGA
rnacentral:misc_RNA from 1 species